rfam:Anopheles culicifacies strain species A-37_1 cont1.4980, whole genome shotgun sequence.
GCUCCAGUGGCGCAAUUGGUUAGCGCACGGUACUUAUAAGACAGUAAUCGUUGCUUGGCUAUGAGCGAUGCCGUGGUUGUGAGUUCGAGCCUCACCUGGAGCA